AUUGAACGCUGGCGGCAUGCCUUACACAUGCAAGUCGAACGGUAACGGGCCUUCGGGUGCCGACGAGUGGCGAACGGGUGAGUAAUGUAUCGGAACGUACCUUUCAGUGGGGGAUAACGUAGCGAAAGUUACGCUAAUACCGCAUAUUCUGUGAGCAGGAAAGCAGGGGAUCGCAAGACCUUGCGCUGAUUGAGCGGCCGAUAUCAGAUUAGCUAGGUGGUGAGGUAAAGGCUCACCAAGGCGACGAGCUGUAGCGGGUCUGAGAGGAUGAUCCGCCACACUGGAACUGAGACACGGUCCAGACUCCUACGGGAGGCAGCAGUGGGGAAUUUUGGACAAUGGGCGCAAGCCUGAUCCAGCAAUGCCGCGUGCAGGAAGAAGGCCUUCGGGUUGUAAACUGCUUUUGUACGGAGCGAAAAGGUCUUCCCUAAUACGGGAGGCUGAUGACGGUACCGUAAGAAUAAGCACCGGCUAACUACGUGCCAGCAGCCGCCGUAAUAC
rnacentral:rRNA from 1 species